AGUGAACGCUGGCGGCAGGCCUAACACAUGCAAGUCGAGCGGCAGCGCGGGGGCAACCCUGGCGGCGAGCGGCGGACGGGUGAGGAAUUCGUCGGAAUCUGCCUUUUUGUGGGGGAUAACGUAGGGAAACUUACGCUAAUACCGCAUACGUCCUACGGGAGAAAGUGGGGGACCGCAAGGCCUCACGCAGAAAGAUGAGCCGACGACCGAUUAGCUAGUUGGUGGGGUAAAGGCCCACCAAGGCGACGAUCGGUAGCUGGUCUGAGAGGAUGAUCAGCCACAUGGGACCGGAGCCACGCCCCAGACUCCUGGGGGGGGCGGAGGGGGGGAUUUGUGGACAAGGGCCGAAGCCAUGACCCACCCUUGCGGCGGGUGGGAAGAAGGCUUCGGGGUUGUAAAGCCUUUUUGCCGGAAAAAAACCCCCGGGAGCAAAUCCCUGCGGGGGAUGACGGUCCGGAAAAAAAAAGCACCGGCUAACUUCGUC
rnacentral:rRNA from 1 species